UUCCUGGUGGCUCAGAUGGUAAAGAAUCUGCCUGCAAUGCAGGAGACCUGGGUUUGAUCCCUGGUCAGGAAG
rnacentral:tRNA from 1 species